GGUGGUAGUAGGGGGGCAGGUCGCCUUCGAGGUCCUUGUCGGGGAUCUCGAGGUAGAGCCGGUCGCGGAACUCCUUGAGCUCGGCCUUCGACAGCUUCUUC
rnacentral:tRNA from 1 species